rnacentral:rRNA from 1 species
GGAAGGGAUGUAUUUAUUAGAUAAAAAACCAAUGCCCUUCGGGGCUCUUUGGUGAUUCAUGAUAACUUAACGGAUCGCAUGGCCUUGCGCCGGCGACGGUUCAUUCAAAUUUCUGCCCUAUCAACUUUCGAUGGUAAGGUAUUGGCUUACCAUGGUUUCAACGGGUAACGGGGAAUUAGGGUUCGAUUCCGGAGAGGGAGCCUGAGAAACGGCUGCCACAUCCAAGGAAGGCAGCAGGCGCGCAAAUUACCCAAUCCCGACACGGGGAGGUAGUGACAAUAAAUACUGAUACAGGGCUCUUUUGGGUCUUGUAAUCGGAAUGAGUACAAUUUAAACCCCUUAACGAGGAACAAUUGGAGGGCAAGUCUGGUGCCAGCAGCCGCGGUAAUUCCAGCUCCAAUAGCGUAUAUUAAAGUUGUUGCAGUUAAAAAGCUCGUAGUUGAACCUUGGGCCUGGCUGGCCGGUCCGCCUCACCGCGUGUACUGGUCCGGCCGGGCCUUUCCUUCUGGAGAGCCCCAUGCCCUUCACUGGGCGUGCGGGGGAACCAGGACUUUUAC